CACCAGGGGCGUGUAAGCUGUAAAGGAUAACAAGAGGAUGUCUGGGAAGAGGAGGCAGCUGCACGGGGGAGACUGUCCGUCACAGCAGUGCAGACCAACCAUGGCCGACAACAAGAGGAGGACAGGCCCAUGUGACUCUCAAUGCUUGACCAAUCGUGGACAGCUUUGGGUCCAUGGGCAGCACAUCCGUGAUGACAAGCAGAAGACCUGACAGUCAGAUUUAUUCCACCAGCUCAGCCCCCACGAUGGAAUCCAGGUCCUGAUUUUUCUUCAUGUAACACAAAGUAAUCUGGAACAUUCUCCCAACACAUUCAAGCCAGACUCACUCCAGCCGUGAACACUGCUUACAUUGUCUUCAAGAUACUGACUUAUGUUACUGACAGUGGUUAGACCUUCACAUUCAAUGUGCUUUUAAAGUAUAAAUUCAGUUUCUGUUUUGGCAUUUUUGCCAUAAACCCGACUAAUGUCAGGUCUUAACGUAAACCAGCCUAACAUAUUGUGAUGUUAGCGGCCUUCUUGACAGGGCCACCUUUGGUUGGUUGUCAGAUGAAAUUCAAAAAAACAUCUCAUUGGUCUUAUAUGGUCUUACAUGCAGGUGUGAAGAUCUAGGCUACAUUCAAGGAAUCAAACUUCGCAGGGAUAAUGAAGACAGGGAGGUUUGUCAUGACAGAAGCUAGCUCUAUAUUUAUACUGUAGGCACAGUCUGUCACAUCUCUCAUCAGAUCUAGUUUGGGGAAAAAGGGAAACUAGAUUGUCCAGGAGCCAGUGAUGUGCAAGUGGCCAUCUUUUCAUCUAGUAUAUCGGUUCAUUAAGAACAUCUCCUGAGCUUCCAAGGGGUAGAAUAGCUUGCUAAUAUGAUCACGUAUGAGCAUGUCACAGAUACCCAAAAGGACCAAACCUAGCACAGCUGAGCAGAAUGCAUUGUCUGUUCUGAAAAAAAGCCUGAUUCUGCCAGAAUGUCUUGUUCUUUUUUUAAACUGAAACAAUUUUAUUCCUACAUACCGUUGGAUCAUUCCUGCCAUUUCUUAAGGAUAUAACGGCUUGAAUCCCUUGGAACUUUAAUUUCAAAUUUCCUAGGAACAGAAGACACAUCAACAAAUACAACCUCAUAGAUCUGUGUUUCACUAUGUGCGUAGCAUGAUAAGGUUAGUGUAUGAUUAUCAGUGAAAAUGGGCCGACUAUAUGUGUAACAGGGAUAAUUAAUGUACAAUUUCAUGUGUAACAGGCUGAUUAGUUUAAAAUUGGUCUCAUUUAUGUACAAUUACAUGUGUAACUAGGCUGAUUCGCAUGAAACCUGGCUCAUUUAUUUAUGAUCAUAAGUGUAACUGGGCUGAUUAAUUAAAAAUGGAGCUAAUAUAUGCAGUUAUAGCUAUAGUAAUUAAAAAAUAUUGUAUGUAACGGGGCUGGUUUGUUUAUACAUUUAUGUGUAACAUUUUGCAUCCAUUAUAGGCGGAACAGGACAGACUGAAUUAUGGGUAUGUAUGUAACUGGGAUGAUUCAUUUAAAUAUUUAUUGGUAGCCGUGUUUAUUUAUGACUGUUUUUGAAAUGGGUCAAUUGGUUCACAUUAAAUGUAACCAGCACUGA